AAAUGGCAAGCCUGGAAGGUAUUUUCUCUUUACCCAUGUAUCAUUUAAGAGGCCUACAUCUGAGUAAGAAUACUGACUGAGCAUUGGUGGGCCUAUGCCGUGUUUCUGGUCAUGAUAGAUGUGAGACCUUGCAAACAUGAAAACUUUAAAGACUAUUUUAUUGAGAUGUGUCAGAUGCUAUGGGCACAUACGAUAUUCCCAACCUAUUGUAUCAAUAAGCAGUGUAUGUAUAUUUGUGUUCCUGGCUCACUGGGUGGGUUUCCUGUGGACUCUGGAAUCAUUGGGGGUGUGUAAUUAAUGCAAAUUCCCAAUGCUGGUUAUGUAGAUACACAACCCUUUCAAGAUUAUCCCCCUGGGGGAAAUGGCAUUGACUGGUUUUACCUGUUUCAGGAGGCCUGGGAGGUAAAGGCCUCCAACCUGUAUAAAGAGUCAGCCUGCUCUAACUCAGCCUCCGACUCACUUUGGAACAAAGAACUGCCAGACUUAAGUGAGGACCUACCAGGAUCCUGUGCAGAUGAUGGGAAAUACCUGCUGGAGUAUAGAUCCCCAAAGAGUGAAGAGUGGCUUGAGAAUCCUUCACUGAGAGGAGCACCUCAUCUGUCGUGUUCAAAAAUAGCUUCUGUCAGUUGAAAGCCUGAGCCUGCAGGGUGGGAGACGAGGGAUUAGACCUCUGCUCUGUGAGCCGUGGGUGGCCUGGUCUGGGGGCCCAGGUAAGUUGCCCAGGGUUCCCAACGUGCCCAUUGCCUUGGGAAGGCCAUCGGUGGAUACAUCCAGGGUAGACCAUACCACAGGUAUUGUGAGAAUGACGAGCACUGCCCCUGAGCUCCAUCUUCAGCCACGUUCCUUCUCAACUGGAGGGCUCGGGUCGUGUGCGCGCUAGAUGCAGCACCAAUGGCACCUAGAGACACCUACUGCGCACACGCGACCCGCAUGGACAGUGCUACUAUAAAUCUCCAAUUGACGGCACCAGGACUUACCAACACCGGAAGUGGAGCACCCACAGGGACAGCACUCGAAGAAGAAUCAGUGGUUAUAUCACAAACCCCACUGUCUUCCUCCACCCCAGUGGAGGGGAGGGUAAAAGAGAAAGAUAUCCAGGAAACCAAUUAAUAGGAAAUCCUGAAGAAUUUCAACUCACAGAAUUUCCUGUCCCCUCUAUGGGUUAUUCUCAUGUAGAGGAGAAUGGGGCCCUUAUGUCACAUGAUUUUAUGUUGAAAAUAUAUCAAAUAUUAUAGGAUCAUAAAUACUAAUGUGGUUGUAUAAGGCAUCGCUAUAGUACAUUUACUUUGAGGAUCAGGACUGAAACUGCAGCCUCCUUCACAAUGAAAAGUUGUGUAAGCAGCAUUUUUUUUAUAAAAAAAUAAUUCCAAAUAUGAUAAUUUUUUCCCAACAUCUUUUUACCAAACAGUCCUGCCCAUAAGACUGACUCCAAAUAGGAGGGUGAUUGAGGAACUCUGAGCAUUAAACAAAACUGGAUACAUUUUUAAAAGCAAACUUUAUACCCUCUGACACAAAGCACCUGGUAAGCUCAACCUUUAGAGCAUUAACACAUCAGCUUUGAACAGUCCCUAGCUUCAGCUGGGUUUGGAGUUGAAUCCAGAGUGUGCUUCUGAACUCAGGUCUCCGGCUGGUAGCACAGCAUGCUACCACUUUGAGAAAGUGCUGGCUUAGAAAAGCACCCUAACUCAACUUAGAGCUUUGAAAUCAACUGUUUUUUAAACGUUUUCUGUGGCAGACAGGUCACUCCUAGUGUAAUUUCUAUAUUAUUCAGAAUGGUAGCAUGUAGUUCAACAAAUGUUAUCUAAAAAGAAUAGAUAACAUCUUUCUAGAAUAGCUUUAAUGUGUUCCUGAUAGAUUUCUGGGGAACAGCUGCGAGAUAAACAUUUUUCAAUUUUUCACAGAAGACAAAAUAAAAAAAAUAAAAUAAAGCAGACAUAGAAAAA